GAUGAAGAACGCAGCGAAAUGCGAUAAGUAAUGUGAAUUGCAGAAUUCAGUGAAUCAUCGAAUCUUUGAACGCACCUUGCGCCCUUUGGCAUUCCGAAGGGCAUGCCUGUUUGAGUAUCAUGAACACCUCAACUCUUCAUGGUUUUCCAUGAUGAGCUUGGACUUUGGGGGUCUUGCUGGCCUGCGGUCGGCUCCUCUCAAAUGAAUCAGCUUACCAGUGUUUGGUGGGCAUCACAGGUGUGAUAACUAUCUGCGCUUGUGGUUUUCCACCAAGUAACCUUCAGCAGUGGAGGUUCACUGGAGCUCACAGACGUCUCUCCUCAGUGAGGACAGCCCUUUGAAUGUUUGAUCUCAAAUCAGGUAGGACUACCCGCUGAACAUAAGCAUAUCAAUAAGCGGAGGA
rnacentral:misc_RNA from 1 species